rnacentral:rRNA from 1 species
UACGGAGGGUGCGAGCGUUGUCCGGAAUCACUGGGCGUAAAGGGCGCGUAGGCGGCGCGGAUAGUCAACGGUGAAAGCUUGGGGCUCAACCCCGAGUCGGCCGUGCGAACUGUUUUGCUGGAGCACUGUAGAGGCAGGCGGAAUUCCGGGUGUAGCGGUGGAAUGCGUAGAGAUCCGGAAGAACACCGGUGGCGAAGGCGGCCUGCUGGGCAGUUGCUGACAUUGAGGCGCGACAGCGUGGGGAGCAAACAGG